ACAGGAAGUCAUUUAUAUAGUACAUAAUCUAAAACCACAAUACAGUACAUUAUUGUCAUCAACUACUGUUAUUCUGAAGACGUCAAGAUGUCUCUUCGCUGUAUUAUGCUUUUUAUGGUAUUAAUGACAGGUAACUUAUUAAUAGUCACUUUGUCGAAUUCUUUCUUUGUUCUAAUUAUUACUAAGUUUAAUUCAGUCUAUAGAAAAUGUACGUAAAAUAAUAUUUGACUGUUCUUGACUACAGCAAUAUAUAUACUGUUUAUACAUGUAACUAAAAUUGUGCUGUAUUCACACAGAGUAUAGUGAAGGGUUCACCUUAGUACAACCUGAUAUGUCAUUGACAAAGUUAGAAAGGAGAACUGCCCGAAUUGAGUGUAUAAUGGAAGGAUUAAAUAUAAAAGAUGAACAUGUGCACUGGUAUCGGAUUGAGGAAAACAAGAGUCCGGAAUGGAUCCUCUACUAUAAAAGUUCAUCUAACUACAGGAAUGGAGAGAAAUUCAAAAAUGGGUUCUCAGCUGGGAAGAAUUAUGAAAAAAACUCAUGUAUACUCACGUUGACAAAUCCUUUAGCAAAAGAAUCAGCGACAUACUUUUGUGGCGUGUUUGACAAUUUUGUAUAUAUGGUAUUUGGAUCUGGAACAAAACUCACUGUAACAAACACACGGACUGUUAAAGCACCCCAGGCGACCAUCUUGAGUACAUCGAAGGAGAGAAUUGAGAGAACAGGCCAGGUUAUAUACAUGUGUCUCCUAGAUAAUUUUUACCCUGAUGUAAUCAAAGUGACCUGGAGAAAAGAGGGAAGCACAGAGGAGUUAUUGUCUGAACAAGGAGAAAUGAUGCUAGAUGAUAAAAUCCAAACGUACUCUUUAACUAGCUGGAUUACAGUGAGCAAAAAUGAAUUGGGCGAGAGGUUUUUCUGCCGGUAUAAACAUGAAGGAAAUACGCAUCCGAAUUUGUGGGGUGAAAUUUCCACAACUGGACCUCAACCUAAGAAAGAUCGUAGUGAUAAAAACUCAAUUCUCAUUGAUACAAGAGAAAAUGAUAAAACAUGUGUUAAAAUAUAUAACAAUUCCACUGAUUAUCCAGAAUCACCUUUUAAAGCUACAACCUACCGUGCAGCAUACCUUACAUAUAUUUUAAUGCUCCUGAAAAGUGUUCUGUAUUGCCCCAUCAUGAUCUUUACAUACAAGGCCACAGCAUAAGUCUCUCUUAACAGGAGAGGAAGACGACAUUGUUGCUUUGCUUAGAAAAGUUAUGCUGUUGGAUUUAGUUUCAAACAUAGAAAGUGACGGCAGAUGAGAACCAUUAGGUCCAUCCAGUCUGCCCAACCUCUGAGUCCUUUCCUUAAUACCUGGCCUUAUACUAUAUCUAGCUUAGCCUUAUGCCUAUCCCAUGCUCACUUCUUGAUUGCUAUUAGUAUAAUAAUACCAGAUUUUGGAACCAAUGUAAGCAAUUUGUUUAGGUAGGUGCAUCAUAUAUAUUUAAAGCUUUCGUUAUUAUCUUUUAUUGGUAACUGAUAAUAAAGAGCUUAGAUUUUAUUA